rnacentral:rRNA from 1 species
UACGGAGGGUGCAAGCGUUGCUCGGAAUUAUUGGGCGUAAAGGGCAAGUAGGUGGUCUCAUUUGUCUGGGGUGAAAGCCUUGAGCUUAACUCAAGAAGUGCCCCGGAAACGGUGAGACUCGAGUCCUCGAGAGGGUCGUGGAAUUCCCGGUGUAGCGGUGAAAUGCGCAGAUAUCAGGAGGAACACCGGUGGCGAAGGCGGGUCUCUGGGCCGAUACUGACGCUGAGGAGCGAAAGCGUGGGGAGCGAACAGG